GGGAAAUCUCUGGUAGGUAGCACAGUGAAAGAUGACUCAUUUUCGCUCGUUUGUAAUGAGCACAGAACACCACACAGGCGUAAUGACAAACACUAAUAGGACAAGUACCUCAGGGGUCCAGUCGAGGGGAAUGCUACCCAAAUGACAUUAUGAAGUUGGUGGCAGUCCUCAUCUGCCUGUGUUUGGAGAUUACAUAGAUUACCAGAGAGUUCCCGAUGAGCCCCACCAGCAUGAUGAGAGCGAAGAAGAGAGGCACCAGCCAGGCGUCCGUCAGGAAUGGGUGCUCCCCCUCCUCCGGAUUCUCCAGAGAAGCAUUCAGCUCAGACGCAUUGAACCACAUCAGGACUGUA